rnacentral:rRNA from 2 species
UAGGGAAUUUUCGGCAAUGGGGGAAACCCUGACCGAGCAAUGCCGCGUGAAUGAUGAAGGUCUUCGGAUUGUAAAGUUCUGUUGUUAAGGAAGAACUGCACAAAUAGGAAAUGAUUUGUGUUUGACGGUACUUAACUAGAAAGCCCCGGCUAACUAUGUGCCAGCAGCCGCGGUAAUACAUAGGGGGCAAGCGUUAUCCGGAAUUAUUGGGCGUAAAGCGUGCGUAGGCGGUUUAUUAAGUCUGAUGUUAAAGCCCACAGCUUAACUGUGGUUGGUCAUUGGAAACUGGUAAACUUGAGUACAGUAGGGGUAAGUGGAAUUCCAAGUGGAGCGGUGGAAUGCGUAGAUAUUUGGAGGAACACCAGUGGCGAAGGCGGCUUACUGGGCUGGAACUGACGCUGAGGCACGAAAGCGUGGGGAGCAAACAGG